GUUCUUUGGCUCUUGUGUGAGUGGAUGGUGACACCAGGCCAGCUGGGGAUUCUUCCCAGGCUGGGCUCACAGGCUGGGGCUGGGCACACGGAGCAGCUGCGGGAAAAGGAUCUGGACACCAGCCCCCCAGCGUGUCACCGGCAGGAAGGUGAGGUGGGAACAGAGUGACGUCCAUGCAUGUUCAGAGACAAGGUUUCCCUACGUUGCCCAGACUGGUCUUGAACUCCUAGCCUCAAGCAGUCCUUCUGCCUCAGCCUCCCAAUGUGCUGGGAUUACAGGCAUGAGCCACUGCACUUGACCAAGGGACUAAGCCAGUGGAUCACAAACAUCCUGGAGAGCAGUGACUCUGUGAUUCCAUCACAAGAAUAUGAAGGACUGAGAAGAUCUCCAGCUCUGCCCAUUGCACCUUCCCAUUGAGAAGCAGCAUGGCACCCUGGUGGCAGGGGCUGAUACUCAGCCGGGCCAGGGUGCUCUCCUGUUAACCAUAACCAAGCUCACAGGACAUGGGAUGAGCCCACUGUGUGACACAGGGAGCGGGACACAGUCUGUUAAGUCUUGCACAGCCAUGCUCUGCCACGCAGGCAGGCCUUUCCUUGGCCUCCCUCUCCCUGUUCGUGCUCAUGUGAACAUCCACCUACGUGGAUAGACUGGGCUUUGGUUCAUUAUUGCUCUGUGAAUUCCUCGAACUUCCGCAUCUGCCCAACCUCCCCCACCCCAUUGUUUUCAUUGUGUUUCACCAAAUGGAAAUUCUAGAGUAAGCAUGUGAGUCCUCUCCCAAACUUGUUCACUGUUGAGAGUGCUAAAAUGCUAACCCCAGAUGCUAACUGAGGGGUAGGGUUACCUUAUCUUUAGAGCACUGCGAAUUGUAUGUUAAGUGGAACUUAAUGAAAAAAUAGUUAAUUGACCAACAUGAAUAUCCCCUGAACAGAAUCUCCCCUGAACAGAAUCCUACAAUGAAACUAAGGGAGAUAAAUAAAGCUGUUUACCUGAAAGCUCUCUCUAAUCAAGAUCCUUUGAAAUUUAUAAAACAUGGUCAAUAUUUGCACUGGACUUUGUAAAAAUAAAGCUUGAUAAGAGAAGAGUUUGAAGUGAAAUGCUGCCACUUUCUAUGCAAUAUUUGAUUUAAAUUUAAUUCCUAGAAACCUCAGAUGAAUGUGGUUCAUGUAUCAAAGCACUCAGCAUUAUUUAUCGCGGCCUUAAAUACACAGUGAGCUUACAUGUGAAUGAAUACAUAUAUUAUGUAUCUCUCUCUAUAUAUAUACUAUAUAGAUAAUAUAGUAUAUAUAUAUAUAUAGUGUAUAUAUACACUAUAUAUAUCGUGUAUACAUAUACUAUCUAUAUAGUAUAUAUGUAUAUGGUAUAUAUAUCUAUCUAUAGAUAGAUAGAUAGAUAUACUUAAAAAAACCCCAUUCCCUUAAGAGCAGUUAAGGGACACCAUAUAUCAAAUUUCUUGGCACGUUGUGAAUAUUAAUAUCCCCAAAGUGUCAAUGUCAAAUGAUUUGACUUGAAAUCACUAAGCUUGGUAAUCUCACUAUUUUUAAACAAGGCCUAACAUCUUUUAAUCUUGAAUACCAGCAAGUUCUCAGACUUCAGUUGUUUAUUUUCUCUUUUCUUUCCUUUAAAAAAUUCUGACAAGCUCUUUUCCUUGACACAAAGAAAGCGUAUAAAUUUUAUUUUGGUUUGAACAACAGAAAUUUGCCUCUCAGAAUUCUGGAGAUUGGAAAGUCUAAGGACUAAGCUGCUGGCCAAUUUAGUUCUUAGUGAGGACUCUCUUCCUGGCUUGUAGAUGGCUGCCUUCUCACUGCAUCCUCAGAGAGAGAGAGAGAGAGGGCUCUUGUGUCUCUUCCUUUCUCAUAAAGCGUCAGCUCUCUUGUAUUAGGGUCCCACCCAUAAUUACCCCCUUAUAUGCCCCAUCUACAAAUAGAGUCACAUUGUGGGUUAGAGCUUGGCAGUGAAUAAUUAUGGAGGUUAUUGUUGGCUUUAGAAUUUCGUGGUAGAAACAAUAAAUUGCCUUUGUGUUUA
rnacentral:lncRNA from 1 species